ACACAGUGAUCUGAAUGCCGAAGAGAAGAAAUUCAAUGAAGCUCAGGUAAACAGCAGGAAUAACUAUGACUCUCUCUCUCUCUCUUUUUUUGCUAUGACUCUCUUACAGUAGCCAAAAGCCUCAUCAUCUAAUUAGUGACGCUCAUGAAU
rnacentral:ncRNA from 1 species